rnacentral:lncRNA from 1 species
AAAAUAUGAAGAAGUCCUUGGUUGUCGUGUUUUACUUUGUCUUCCUCUUUGUUGUCGCUUCAGGUAAUUUUUCCUUUUUACUAGUAGAAGAUCCAUUUAGUUCUUUAUUUAAAUCUGACAAACAAUUAAUUCCUUAAUUUAUUUUAAUUACAACGUUUUUAGGAUCCUAGGAAAUGAUUAUUUUUUAGAAUUCUCUAUUAACUUACUAUUGUUUCUUCUAGAUUAACUUCGAUGCAAAAAAUGUGUUUGCAUUAUUUCCAAUACAAUUUCAUAAGAAGUAUCUCACGUAUUUUUACUCAUGUAACGUACUAUAUACAUAUAUUAUCGGUCUCAUCGUGGUGUCUAAUAUAAUCUAAAUAAAACGCUUCUAAAUUAAUUCAUCUUCACAUUAAUACAAAUAUCUACUAAUUGAUUACAAACUUUAAUGUAUCUUUAGGCUUGGAGCUUCAGGCUGAAGUUAAAAAACCAGGUUAUGGCGAUCCCUGCGGCAAAACCGAAGAUUGUCCUCCUUGUGCAUGCGACGUUCCAGGGUUUUGUAUAUGUUGUUUUUGCAUAUUUAAAAAAUGUGUAUGUUUCAGGCCUCCAAGUACAAACUAAAUUUCAGGCCUCCAAUUUCAUCUUAUGUAAUAGAAGGUCAUUGUUGCCUUCAUAUGCCUAAAUAAAUUAGGCAUUAUAAAUGCCCGUUAUUUAAAAAAACUCAGUUUUAAUAGAGGUGGUGGUUGAAAAUAAUGUCGGUCACUUGAUUUUUUGAGUUCAAAUUAUUUGAACAUGCCCCC